CAGCACCUCAAGUGGUCAGGAUGAUUAUUGGGCCUAAAGCGUCCGUAGCCGGUUUGAUAAAUCUUUUGUGAAAUUGUACAGCUUAACUGUACAGCGUGCAAGAGACACUGUCAAACUUGAGACCGGGAGGAGUCAGAAGUAUUCCAGAGGGAGCGGUAAAAUGUUAUAAUCUCUGGAGGACUACCUGUGGCGAAGGCGUCUGACCAGAACGGAUCUGACGGUGAGGGACGAAAGCUAGGGGAGCGAACCGGAUUAGAUACCCGAGUAGUCC
rnacentral:rRNA from 1 species